UAGUAACAUAACCAGUUGGGGUUCUGU
rnacentral:piRNA from 1 species